CCUACGGUGGGCAGCAGUGAGGAAUAUUGGUCAAUGGGCGCGCGCCUGAACCAGCCAAGUAGCGUGAAGGAUGACUGCCCUACGGGUUGUAACCUUCUUUUGUAAAGGAAUAAAGUGAGGCACUUGUGCCUUGUUGUGUGUACUUUAUGAAUAAGGAUCGGCUAACUCCGUGCCAGCAGCCGCGGUAAUACGGAGGAUCCGAGCGUUAUCCGGAUUUAUUGGGUUUAAAUGGAGCGUAGAUGGGUUGUUAAGUCAGUUGUGAAAGUUUGGGGCUCAACCGUAAAAUUGCAAUUGAUACUGGCAGUCUUGAGUACAGUUGAGGUAGGCGGAAUGCGUGGUGUAGCGGUGAAAUGCUUAGAUAUCACGAAGAACUCCGAUUGCGAAGGCAGCUUACUAAACUGCCACUGACAUUGAUGCUCGAAAGUGUGGGUAUCAAACAGGAGUAGAUACCCGGGUAGUC
rnacentral:rRNA from 1 species